GCUACAAAAGAAAAUGAAUUUUUCUCUUUAUGCACAGCAUGGGUGGCAGCAAUGCGAGCUUCCUUUUACCACCCUGCCAUUGUGUUUCAAACUUGCUUUGAGUGCGCCAUUCCCGGAGGUGAGAAAUGGUUCAGUCUCCACAUCCAUAGAAUUCUGGCUGCC
rnacentral:sRNA from 1 species